AUUGAACGCUGGCGGCAGGCCUAACACAUGCAAGUCGAACGAGUGGCGGACGGGUGAGUAAUGUCUGGGAAACUGCCUGAUGGAGGGGGAUAACUACUGGAAACGGUAGCUAAUACCGCAUACCAUCAGAUGUGCCCAGAUGGGAUUAGCUUGUUGGUGGGGUAACGGCUCACCAAGGCGACGAUCCCUAGCUGGUCUGAGAGGAUGACCCGCCCACCUGGAACUGAGACAACGGCCAGACUCCUUCGGGAGGGAGCAGUUGGGAAUUUUGCACAAUGGGCGCAAGCCGUAUGGAGCCAUGCCGUGUGGUAGAAGAAGGCCUUCGGGGUUGAAAGUACUUUCAGCGGGGAGGCGUUACCCGCAGAAGAAGCACCGGCUAACUCCGUGCCAGCAGCCGCGGUAAUAC
rnacentral:rRNA from 1 species